rnacentral:rRNA from 1 species
GACGAACGCUGGCGGCGUGCUUAACACAUGCAAGUCGAACGGAAAGGCCCUGCUUUUGUGGGGUGCUCGAGUGGCGAACGGGUGAGUAACACGUGAGUAACCUGCCCUUGACUUUGGGAUAACUUCAGGAAACUGGGGCUAAUACCGGAUAGGAGCUCCUGCUGCAUGGUGGGGGUUGGAAAGUUUCGGCGGUUGGGGAUGGACUCGCGGCUUAUCAGCUUGUUGGUGGGGUAGUGGCUUACCAAGGCUUUGACGGGUAGCCGGCCUGAGAGGGUGACCGGCCACAUUGGGACUGAGAUACGGCCCAGACGCCUACGGGGGGCAGCAGUGGGGAAUAUUGCACAAUGGGCGGAAGCCUGAUGCAGCAACGCCGCGUGCGGGAUGACGGCCUUCGGGUUGUAAACCGCUUUCGCCUGUGACGAAGCGUGAGUGACGGUAAUGGGUAAAGAAGCACCGGCUAACUACGUG